GCCCCGGUAGCUCAGACAGUAAGAGCAUUGGUUUGAAUAAGAAGUUUAUCCUGCACCGAAAGUCGUGGGUUCGAUUCCUGUCCGGGUCU
rnacentral:tRNA from 1 species